rnacentral:rRNA from 1 species
GUAGGGAGCGAGCGUUAUCCGGAUUUAUUGGGUGUAAAGGGUGCGUAGGCGGCUUUUUAGGUCUAAGGUUUAAGCCCGGAGCUUAACUCCGGUUCGCCUUAGAAACCGAUUGGCUUGAGUAUGGUAGAGGCAAGUGGAAUUUCUAGUGUAGCGGUAAAAUGCGUAGAUAUUAGAAGGAACACCAGUGGCGAAGGCGACUUGCUGGGCCAUUACUGACGCUGAGGCACGAAAGCGUGGGGAGCGAA